CUUUCUCUUCCUUUUUUUCUCCUAUUUUUUUUGAUUUUUUAUCCUUAGAGCGCUUUCUUUUCUUUAGGAUUUGAGAACUCUUUGGAUUGCUCCUCAGUUCCUAGCUCAGCCCUAGCAUCAUCAACUACUAUUUGUGUAGGAGAGACCACUUGGAGUAAUCCAGUAUAGACCUCUCUUGCCCAUGAAUUGCAUUACUCAUCACUAGUGACCUCAGUGAUUUUCGUCGGUCUCGCUUUAUCAAUAUUUGCACCCACAGAUCCAGGUGCAGUGACAACCUCUUCAAC
rnacentral:lncRNA from 1 species